rnacentral:rRNA from 1 species
AUUGAACGCUGGCGGCAUGCCUUACACAUGCAAGUCGAACGGUAACGCGGGGCAACCUGGCGACGAGUGGCGAACGGGUGAGUAAUGCAUCGGAACGUGCCUGGUAGUGGGGGAUAACUGCUCGAAAGAGCAGCUAAUACCGCAUACGACCUGAGGGUGAAAGGGGGGGAUCGCAAGACCUCUCGCUAUCGGAGCGGCCGGUGUCGGAUUAGCUAGUUGGUGGGGUAAAGGCCCACCAAGGCAACGAUCCGUAGCUGGUCUGAGAGGACGACCAGCCACACUGGGACGGAGAGACGGCCCAGACUACUACGGGAGGCAGCAGUGGGGAAUUUUGGACAAUGGACGCAAGUCUGAUCCAGCAAUGCCGCGUGCGGGAAGAAGGCCCGCGGGUUGUAAACCGCUUUUGUCAGGGAAGAAAUCUUCUGGGUUAAUACCUCGGGAGGAUGACGGUACCUGAAGAAUAAGCACCGGCUAACUACGUGCCAGCAGCCGCGGUAA